rnacentral:rRNA from 1 species
UCCGUAGGGUGCGAGCGUUAAUCGGAAUUACUGGGCGUAAAGCGUGCGCAGGCGGCGCGUUAAGACAGGUGUGAAAGCCCCGAGCUUAACUUGGGAAUUGCGCUUGUGACUGGCGUGCUGGAGUGUGGCAGAGGGAGGUGGAAUUCCACGUGUAGCAGUGAAAUGCGUAGAGAUGUGGAGGAACACCGAUGGCGAAGGCAGCCUCCUGGGCCAGCACUGACGCUCAUGCACGAAAGCGUGGGGAGCAAACAGG